rnacentral:rRNA from 1 species
AUUGAACGCUGGCGGCAGGCCUAACACAUGCAAGUCGAACGGUAACAGGAAGAAGCUUGCUUCUUUGCUGACGAGUGGCGGACGGGUGAGUAAUGUCUGGGAAACUGCCUGAUGGAGGGGGAUAACUACUGGAAACGGUAGCUAAUACCGCAUAGCGUCGCAAGACCAAAGAGGGGGACCUUCGGGCCUCUUGCCCUCGGAUGUGCCCAGAUGGGAUUAGCUAGUAGGUGGGGUAACGGCUCACCUAGGCGACGAUCCCUAGCUGGUCUGAGAGGAUGACCAGCCACACUGGAACUGAGACACGGUCCAGACUCCUACGGGAGGCAGCAGUGGGGAAUAUUGCACAAUGGGCGCAAGCCUGAUGCAGCCAUGCCGCGUGUAUGAAGAAGGCCUUCGGGUUGUAAAGUACUUUCAGCGGGGAGGAAGGGAGUAAAGUUAAUACCUUUGCUCAUUGACGUUACCCGCAGAAGAAGCACCGGCUAACUCCGUG